rnacentral:rRNA from 1 species
GAUGAACGCUAGCGGGAGGCCUAACGCAUGCAAGCCGAGCGGUAGAGAUCUUUCGGGAUCUUGAGAGCGGCGUACGGGUGCGGAACACGUGUGCAACCUGCCUUUAUCUGGGGGAUAGCCUUUCGAAAGGAAGAUUAAUACCCCAUAAUAUGUUGGAUGGCAUCAUUCGACAUUGAAAACUCCGGUGGAUAGAGAUGGGCACGCGCAAGAUUAGAUAGUUAGUGAGGUAACGGCUCACCAAGUCUGCGAUCUUUAGGGGGCCUGAGAGGGUGAUCCCCCACACUGGUACUGAGACACGGACCAGACUCCUACGGGAGGCAGCAGUGAGGAAUAUUGGACAAUGGGUGAGAGCCUGAUCCAGCCAUCCCGCGUGAAGGAAGACGGCCCUAUGGGUUGUAAACUUCUUUUGUAUAGGGAUAAACCUACUCUCGUGAGAGUAGCUGAAGGUACUAUACGAAUAAGCACCGGCUAACUCCGUGCCAGCAGCCGCGGUAAUACGG